CCCUAAUCCCAUAAUUCCCACAAUCCCCUAAUCCCAUUAAUCCCAUGAUCCCAUCAAUCCCAUUAAUCCCACAAUCCCACAAUCCCCCAAUCCCCUAAUCCCAUUAAUCCCAUUAAUCAGUGAUUCCAUUCAUCCCACAAUCCCACAAUCCCCUAAUCCCAUCAAUCCCAUUAAUCCCAUAAAUCCCACAAUCCCCUAAUCCCCUAAUCCCAUUAAUCCCAUUAAUCAGUGAUUCCAUUCAUCCCACAAUCCCACAAUCCCCUAAUCCCAUCAAUCCCAUUAAUCCCAUUAAUCCCAUUAAUCCCACAAUCCCAUUAAUCCCCUAAUCCCCUAAUCCCACAAUCCUACAAUCCCACUAAUCCCAAUCAUCCUAUUCAUCCCACAAUCCCACAAUCCCCUAAUCCCAUAAAUCCCACAAUCCCCUAAUCCCAUUCAUCCCAUUCAUCCCAUUCAUCCCAUUAAUCCCACAAUCCCACAAUCCCCUAAUCCCAUAAAUCCCACAAUCCCCUAAUCCCAUUAAUCCCUUAAUCCCAUUCAUCCCAUUCAUCCCAUUCAUCCCACGAUCCCAUAAAUCCCACGAUCCCAUCAAUUCCCCCAUAGGGUCCUCGGGGUCAGCGCGGUCCGCGCGGCGCCACCGGCAAAUCAGGAGCCAAGGGGACGUCGGGCAGCGAUGGACCGCAUGGACCCCCGGGAGAGAGGGGCGUACCUGGAGCUGCCGGCCCCAAUGGAUUCCCCGGCCCCAAAGGACCCCCGGUGAGCCCCAAAUGACCCCAAAAUGGCCCCAAAAUGGCCCCAAAUGGCCCUAAAUGACCCCAAAUGGCCCCAAAUGACCCCAAAUUGCUUCGU
rnacentral:lncRNA from 1 species